AGUAUUGAGUUGGAGAUCAACAUAACAAUUGCGCAAACUUGAUAAAAUUAGUAACCAUACUAUGGCUAUAAAUACCAUGGUUAUUUACAAUAGAUUCACUACUCAGUUAUCUGUCUGAUUUGCAAGUACUCACAUCGUUAGUUCAUACCUAGAAAAAAAACUAAAAUGACCAAAUUUACUUUGUUGUUAUCAAUUAUUUUAUUUAUUGGCUUCUAUGCUAGUGCAGUUGAAGCAAAUUGCGAAGGGCAUUGGUUUUCUUGAUUUUUCAGUUUGAAGACCUGCAAGUUUUCAAAUUUUGAAUUUACGAAUUCGCGUCUUAGGACGUUAUUUGUAGGCAAGCAUGACAUUACGAAAAUUUACCAAAUUUUGAGUUUCGACGAACUUGGGGCAAAUCGAGGGGCCUCGCUAAGCGAUAUCGUGGUUUCACGCAAUAGUACGCACCCUAAAACACAUGAGAAAUCACCACUUUUUAUGCCCUGUUCGAAAUAAAAAUUAUUGGUAAUGGUUGACAGCAUGACAUCACGAAAAUUUGUGGAUUUUGAGUUUAGACGAUUUUGGAGCAAAUCGAGGGGAGAUAUUUAAUACAGAAUUCGAGAAAUGAAUCAAUGUACUGAAGAAGUCUGCCUGCAAUUCAGAGAAUUGUGAUUGACUCAAAGUAGUCAUAUAAUAUCCUAAUUUCAAGAAUUUUGAACCCGAUCCAAAAAUCAUUUCACAACAGUUGAAUUCGAUUAUACUGAAAAUAUAAUAAAUAUAGUGCUUAAUUUAGUAUAAAAAAUAUAUUGUGUUUUUUUUUUUUUAUUUUUUCAAUUAAUAAUUAUCAACUUCCAAUAAAUUACUGAAAAAAAUUAUUUCGUUAGCAAUGAUUAUUAUUUAUGGGACUUUGUGAGUUAUUCAUUUAGCGAUUAGCAUUUAAUUGUUCAAUAUCAAAACAUAUAACCUUCAAUCAAGUUUGUUAUUAAACGUUGACGAAAAGUAAAAAAUAUUUUAUUCCAUGUAUAUUACUCACAAAAAUCUUAUUUUUUCUAAGCCAUGUUAAUCUGUUCUUACACCGAAAGAAAUAAAUAUUUGUCUCGCACAAAUCAAUUUAUUUGUGGACUUGUUCAAAAUAUUUCUUGAUAACAAAUACAUUUGAUACAUCUAUAAAAAUGACAGUAGAUUGAAUAAUUUUAUAAUUUCACUGAAAUAUAUCAUAUAUUUGUAGUAACGAUUCAAGAAUUUUUUUUUUUAACGAUUCGGAAAAUCAAAAAUAUCUUCCACCAAGUAAAUAAUUAUCGUGAAAUUUUCAUCUUAAAUCAAAAUAUUUUUUCUCAAAUCGACCUUAUUUUUUUUUAAUCUUAUUAAAAUUAUAAAAGUCACAAGUUCAAGAUUUAUCGUCGAGGGCAUUGUACCGUAAUUUCUGUUUUUUAAGUGCUGAAGUAGAGAUUAAAAUAACAAUUGCGCAAACUCAAAAAAAAAAAAUUUUCAAAUGGAAAUAUUUGAAAUAAAAUUAACUUCAAUAAACAUACUUCGUUUUCUUAAAAAUUCUCUUGACUGAAGAUAAUUCUCUUCGAAUCACGAUAACCUUUUGUUUAGCAUAAUAUAUUUAUUUAGUUCAUAUCAUGAUUAAUAAAUAGUUAAGGCUAGCGUAAAGCUAUAGUUAUGGGCUUCAUACAUAUACAGCUAUGGGAAUCUAUCGGUUUUGUUUCUUAAGUGGGACAGUCAAGUACCCGGUAUGUUUUGGAUAGUUUUUCGGUAUAAACGAAUUCGAUAUAUAGGAAAGCAAUCUCUGAUCACUACAUAAAAUUACACUUGAAAAUUUCCGGUAAUUACGUCACAGUAGAUUUAUAAAAGUCACUAGUUCAAGGGUCACUGUAAAGGAAUAUGUAACGUAAUUUUUGUUUGUUAAGCAAAGAGUUAGAGAUCAGGGUAACAAAUUUGCAAACUUGAUAAAAUAAGUAACAACACUAUGACUAUAAAUAUCGCAAUUAUUCACAAUAAAUUUAAUACUCAGUUAUCGGUCUGACUUGCAAGUACUCGCAUCAUUAGUUUAUACAUAGAAAAAAAAUUACAAUGACCAAAUUUACUAUGUUGUUAUCAAUUAUUUUAUUUAUUGGCUUCUAUACUAGUGCAGUUGAAGCAUGCAUUGGGAAAUGGUGUCAUCCUUAUCAAGGCUAUAAAUGCUGUAAUAAAGAUUACAUUUGUACUUCACACUUCUUUCAAGGCACGUGCGCACCCGCAAGCGAUUGGGGCUAAGAAGUAAAGGAAUUAAAUAUAAUAAAAUAUUGUUGAAAAAUCCGAAAGUUCAAACCUACAACACUCAUUUUUUAUAUUGAAUAAUAAAUUUACUUUUAUUAAUUUUAAAACUAUGGACUCCUUCCCCGAUUCAAGAAGAUAAAUUGAGAUAAUUUUCAAUGUUAAAUUUCCAUAAAAGAUAUGAUUUAAAAAUUAUUUGAAUUAUUUUAAAUAAUUCGAGUUCAAAUCAUUUCAAGUCAUUUCAAAGCAGUUUUCUUAAUCAGAAUUAUGAAAAAGCUAAAAUAAAUACUACCAGUUUAGAGAAAAAAAAAAUUUUUUCAACCGAAGUUUAUUAUUUUAACAACUUAAAAUAAUUAUAAACUUUUUUUUAAUAUUCAACUUUUUACCGCUUUUUUUCCUUUUACACUGAAUGUAUAUGAACAAUAGUAUUUUGUGUGACAAGGGAUGAAACAAAACGAUUUCAGACCAGGGUGAAGUUGGCUGACAUCACCCGCUGUCAGAAAUCGUGUUUCAUCCUGAGUUACACACAAUAUCGGUGUCUGUAGUCAGUACCCGAGUAAAAACAGAAUUCCGCCGCACCACCGCCGCAACACCGCUGCACGGCUUUUUAAGCGCCGCACCAUCGCUGCACUACAGCCGUGACAAUUCCGAUUAUUUUAUAAAUGCCGCACCACCGCCGUGACAACUAAAGAAUUUUUCUAUUCGCUGCACCACCGCCGCACCACCGCCGUGACGACUAAAGAUUUAUCUAUUCGCUGCACCACCGCCGCACCACCACCGUGACAACCCGAGUAAAAAUGAAAUAAUUAUUUUUACGAAAAAAUUAUAAAUUUUUAUCGACCGCCGCAUCACCGCUGCACCACUACCGCACCAUACCGCCGCACCAUAGCUGUGAUAUUUUGUUGUAAAUUAUUUUUGAUUAGUGAUUUAAAAGUGGUAUAUCCUUUUCAAUCUCAUAUAGCACAAGUAAACUUAGUAGUCACUGUCAGUAGCGUAGCCUAGUCGUUAAAGCGUCGGUCUUUCGUGCGUAAGGUCCCGGGUUCGAAUCCUACUAAAUCGUGUGCGUUUGGUUGAUAUUCAUAGCGUUUUUUCCCUAAAUUAAAAAUUUCUACUCGGUUAGAAAUUAAUUUCAUCACAAAUCUAAUUGAUUUCCACAUCAUUAAAGAAAAAAAAAAACUACUAAAAUUGAGUAAGUCUUUUUUUUUUAAUUUAAUUGAAAUUUCUAUACAUGGCUAUGUAUAUAUUGAAAAUUGUAAUGUAUGGCCGUAUAUAAUUCACUUUUACCGGACAAUUAAAUUUCUCUCACCAUAAACCGGGCAAAUUAAUUAAUUAAUCAUAAGAUAUUUUCGCGUGCAGCGGUUGUGCAGCGGCGGUGCGGCGGUGCUGGCAGAAUAUAUUUUCAGCGUGCGGCGGAAUAGUCCGCCAAACGGCGGUGGUGCGGCGGUAUGGUGCGGUAGUGGUGCAGCGGUGGUGCGGCGGUCGAUAAAAAUUUAUAAUUUUUUCGUAAAAAUAAUAAUUUCAUUUUUACUCGGUACUGAGUUAGAGAUCAAAGUAACGAUUGUGCAAACUUGAUAAAAUAAAUAACAACACUAUGAAUAUAACUAUCACGUCUAUUUACAAUAAAUUCAAUACUCAGUUAUCUGUCUGACUUGCAAGUACUCGCAUCAUUAGUUCAUACUGCAUUCAUCAAAUUUCAUUAGAAACAAUCCUACGAAUUUCGAGCUCAAUGUUGUUAAUCAUAAGGGAUUUUAUUGUUAUAAUAUUUACUGAACUGUAAUCUAUCAAUACUCUAUUUCUUUUUUCUUGGAAAACGAAAGAAUUAUGUUCAACUUAAGAUAAUAUUUGAGGCGUAAAGCUCUGAAAUAUACCGAUAAAUUUCAGACAAAUAAUUCUCUUGAGUAAAAUGUAAGCGUGAUGUUUCUAUUAUUAAUCAUAGGUAAUUGAAUGAGAAGUUGGUAUGUAUACAGAUCUGGUGAAGACAGCACCAUUUUUCUCACUCUCUUUCAAGCAACGACUCAGGAGAAAUACCUUAAAAAAAAACACUAAUAUGCUGCGAAAAAAAACUCUGUUUUUCUUUUUUUGUUAAAGUCAAUGAUCUUCUACAAGUUAAUAGAGUUCCUUCUUAUAAACUAUCAUAGCAAAAAAAAAAUGUAUUGAUAUUGUUAAAAUUUUUGACCAAUUAAUUAUUAAAAAUAACGAGUCACUAAAAUGAUGUAAAGUUUCUUUUCAUCUGUAAACAAAAGUUUGGAUUCUCUAUAUUAUUAUUAUUUAAUAAUAGUACGCAUGAUAUUCAGAAUAACUACAUAAUUUAUUAUGAAUCUAAUGAUCUAGAUCAAUGAUGUGAAGAAUAAUUUAAUUAAUCUUUACUAAAGCUCAGCAUAAUGUGUAUGAAUAUAACGUAUGAUAAUUAAAAAGAAUUAAUCUUAUUUUUUAAUCUGACAUUCAAUACAACCCUUAAAGUGUCCGUGAAGAAAAAUGACAUACUACACUGAGAGAAAAAAUAACUUUUAGAAAUAUUGUACUUUCUUCAUUGAUAAAAUAUAUACACAGAAAAAAAGGUUGACUUGGCCCAAGAUAAUUUUUGCCUUCAUUUUUUUAUUCUUGGGCUGAGUAAUUGGGUUUUUUUAAUCCGAGAACAUUUUCUUCGACUAAUAUUAUAAAAAUAUUGUGUCAAGAAUAAAUAAAUUUUAAUUCAAGUUAAAUAAUCUUGAUUCAAGAAUAAUUAUUUUAAAUCAAAUUUAUUUUGUUUCCAACCAAGUAUAAAAAACUAUCAAAACAAGAUACUUUUCUGUCUUAGGUGGUGAGUAUAGUAAAUUGUCACAAUAUAUAUCAACAUCUCAAACCAAGAACUUUUUUUGCGUGGCAGAAGAACAUUUACUCUCAGUUUGAGAAAACUACAUUAUCGACUCAAGACAACGGUCUAUUGUAAUGAGAAAAUUUUAAUUUUGAUUUAAAUAAAUUAUAAUCUUAACUCAAUAAAAUAACUUUUCUUGAAUCAUGCAAAUAUUUACUUCACGGAAGACAUAAAAUUCUCCCAUUGAUGAUUUUUUUUCUUGACUUAAAAGAAAUGUAGUCUCGAUUCAAGAAAAUAAAUGACUCUACUUGAAAAAAUAUAUCGUCCUAUAUUUUUGAGUGAAUUCAACCUAGUAUAAAUAUUAAAUGUUGUAAAGCAGGAAAUUAUAUGUGUAUAUUUAGAAUAUCACGAUACAGCAGUAGAGGGGAUAAGAAAUAAACAUCCUCGAUUAAUGGUUUAUGAACAACUUAAGAAAAAAUAAAUGGUUUGCUCAUGGUAGGAAUCGAACCCAGACCGAUUCGGCAUCACGCGAGAGCUUUACCAGUUAUGCUAUCCGAUCAUUCCCUGAACGUUCAUUUACUUUACCUAUAUCCAGUAAGCACACUGUACUAUGUAGAGUCUACAUUACCGCCACUUUAGUAUAGUACAGUUAGCUUUCCCAAGAGAAAAAAAGCGUUGGGCCGUGAACGCAGUUGCUGUUGGUUCAAACGUCUACGCUUACUUGCCGCAACACAACAAAAUACGUGAACCAAGAUAUUUCUUACCAUUGAGUCGAGUAUUUUUAAUUCUUGACUCGAGUCACAAAUUAUCUCGACUCAAAAUAUAUUAUUCUCAAACAAAGAAUAUUUUACUUUUCGGACAAUUGAUUAUAUAUUGAGGCAAAAUAUUUAUUUUUCUCACUUUAAGAAAAUAUUUCUUACUUCAAGAAACAUAUAUUAUAUCGGUUGAAUAAAAAAAAAAUCUUAUGCCAAGAUGACUAAAUUUAAGAAAAUUUUGUUCUUGAACCAAGAAAAUUUUCGUUUUCAUUCAAAAUUGCAAAAAAUAUUCUUGUGGCAAGAACAAAUUUCUUGCGCCAAGAUAUCCUUUUUUUCUGUGUAUAUUUAAUUAAUAUUAAUAAAUGUAUUUAUUUGAAACAGUUUUUCAGCAUUAUUUAGCUGAAAUAAGUAUUUGUUUGCCUUAAAUAUAGAUUUAUUAAUAGUUAAUAAAUCUAAUAUUUGAGUGAAGAUCGCUGCGAUAUUUGACUACCAUGCCACUUUAUGUUCAUAACCUUAAAUGGAAUGAGUGUGAUCGUUAGUAGAGAUUUAUUAAAAUAUUUCAUUUCUUUACAUAUUUUGUAUAAUAGUGUUUAUCCUCAAUUCAAAUUAAUUGUGUGUAUUAUUUU